AUUCCGAAGGGGGCAUUUCUCUUAAAGAAACCUGGGCCUUUUGCGCCCCCGGGGGAUUCGGUCCAAGGGUUUUAAUUCCCCUAAAAAUUUAUUUGUUUGGAAAAACGUCGUUCCCUUUAGGGGCCACCGUGUUUCACUUCUGGAGGGAGGUGUUUUAUCCCCCUAGGAGCGGGUUAUUGCAACAUUAGACGUUCUAGUCGGGUAACCUUGAUUUAUAGCAGGGAUACCCCAUAGACUCCUGUCCAAUUCACGGUUUCGGGACGGGAUUAUGAUUAUGUGAACAGUGGGGGGCAAUUGUAUUGCAUCGUCAGAGGUGAAAUUUUUGGAUUUAUGAGAGACGAGCUUCUGCGAAAGCAUUUGCCAAGGAUGUUUUCAUGCAUCAGACACGAAAGUUGGUGGCUGGAAGAUGAUAAGAUACCAUCCUAGUAUCAACCAUAGAUGAUGCGUACUAGUGAUCGGCGGAUGAUAAUUGAUGACUUCGCCAGCACGUUAUGAGAAAUCAAAGUCUGCGGCUUCCGAGGAGAGUAUGGUCUCAAGGCUGAAACUGAAAAGAAUUGCCGGAAGGGCACCACCAGGAGUGGAGCCUGCGGCUUCAUCAGACUCAGCGCGGGGAAACUUAUCAGGUCCAGCACAUAGUAAGGAUUGCCAGACCGAGAGCUCUAUCGAGAUUCUACGGGUGGUGGCGCAUGUCCGUUUUUAGUUGGUGGAGCGAUUCGUCUGGUUAAUUCCGGUGACGAACGAGACCUCAGCUUGCUAAAUAGUUGGACCGUCCUCUUAGGGCCACAACUUCUUAGAGUGAUUAUGUGCCUGCAGCACGUGGAAGUUAGAGGCAAUAACAGGUCUGUGAUGCCAUUAGAUGAUAUGGGCCGCACGCGCGCUACAGUGAUGAAUUCAACGAGCUUAUCACCUUGGCCGAAAGCUAGGGGUAAUCUCCAAAAUUCGUCGUGAUGGGGUUAGCUUAAUGCAUCUAGUAGUCGUCAACGAGGAAUGCCUAGUAAUCGCAAGUCAUCAGCUCGCGUUGAUUACGUCCCAUCCCCUUGUACACACCACCCGUCGCUCCUACCGAUUGAACGGUCCGCGGAAGUGUUUGGAGUAUGGUUUUCUGACGGUUCGCCAUUGGAUUACUGUGGGAAAUUCGCUAAACAUUAUCAUGGAGAGGAAGGAGAAGUCGUACCAAGGUUUCAGUAGGAGGACGUGCCGAAG
rnacentral:rRNA from 1 species